UGCGCAGGCGGGCUUGUAAGUCAGUGGUGAAAUACUGCCGCUUAACGGUAGAACUGCCAUUGAUACUGCGAGUCUUGAAUAUGGUUGAGGUAGGCGGAAUGUGUUAUGUAGCGGUGAAAUGCAUAGAUAUGACACAGAACGCCAAUUGCGAAGGCAGCUUACUAAGCCAUUAUUGACGCUGAGGCACGAAAGCGUGGGGAGCGAACAGGAUUAGAUACCCUGGUAGUCC
rnacentral:rRNA from 1 species